rnacentral:rRNA from 1 species
UACGGAGGGUGCAAGCAUUAGUCGGAAUUAUUGGGCGUAAAGGGCGCGUAGGUGGCUGAGCAAGUCAUGUGUGAAAUUUCGCAGCUCAACUGCGAAGCGGCACGUGAAACUACUGAGCUAGAGGGUAGUCGGAGGAAACGGAAUUCCACAUGUAGCGGUGAAAUGCGUAGAUAUGUGGAGGAACACCGGAGGCGAAGGCGGUUUUCUAGUUUAGGCCUGACACUGAGGCGCGAAAGCGAGGGGAGCAAACAGG